rnacentral:rRNA from 1 species
AGCGAACGCUGGCGGCAGGCUUAACACAUGCAAGUCGAGCGGGCACUUCGGUGUCAGCGGCAGACGGGUGAGUAACACGUGGGAACGUACCCUUCGGUUCGGAAUAACGCUGGGAAACUAGCGCUAAUACCGGAUACGCCCUUUUGGGGAAAGGUUUACUGCCGAAGGAUCGGCCCGCGUCUGAUUAGCUAGUUGGUGGGGUAAUGGCCUACCAAGGCGACGAUCAGUAGCUGGUCUGAGAGGAUGAUCAGCCACACUGGGACUGAGACACGGCCCAGACUCCUACGGGAGGCAGCAGUGGGGAAUAUUGGACAAUGGGCGCAAGCCUGAUCCAGCCAUGUCGCGUGAGUGAUGAAGGCCUUAGGGUUGUAAAGCUCUUUUGUCCGGGACGAUAAUGACGGUACCGGAAGAAUAAGCCCCGGCUAACUUCGU